UGCUAACUCUUUGGGUAUAAUUGAUGGAUAAAGAAAAGGUCUACUACUAAGAAAAUUAAAGACUACGCUUAUCUUCCAUCAGUCGACUCCGCCGCCUCAUUUAUGCGCUCCAUAUCGUGCCUCGGCGCAUGGGACGGCGCAUCGAUGACAGCUUUCGUCGCCGCCCUCCCGGUGCCCCCGGGAGAUUCCGUCGCCUCAUCGAGCGUCUUCCUCCCACGCUAUGAAAACGGGUCCUCGCGGUUGGCCGUCUCCAAGCCUUCCUGGAUCGUCCGAACGGAGUCAAAUGUUAGGAGAGAGAAAAUGAAGAGACCAGAUCCGCCAUGUGUGGUCUGUGAUGGUAGUGGGAGAAUUGAUUGCCACUAUUGUCGAGGAAGAGGCAGGACGAACUGCCUGGAUCUGAUCAUGCUCCCUAAAGGAGAAUGGCCUAAAUGGUGCAAGGUCUGUGGCGGAAGCGGACUUGGCCACUGUAACCGCUGCCUCGGAACAGGAGAAUACCGAGAUGUAAUGGGAUUUCAUUUUAUGAAGAAUAAUAGGGAUUCAACAUGAUUAAGCAACCGUAUCAGAUGGUCAAUGAUGUGUCGCAGGGAAAGCAGAUGCGAGUAGUGCAAAUACACCCUCGUGACAAUUUCUCGAGGUUGGGCAGAAGAAUAGCAUCACUGGUUAUCCGAUAUGAAUGCUUCGAGUGAACCUCUGCUUUGUACACAUUGAGCCUAACGAAAAAGUUGGUGGCGCAGAACUCGCAAAUCUAGUAAAAGCACGCACAACAAUACAGAUCGGAAGAACAUAAGAAAUUAUCAUAUCAGGCUGGCUGCUGGAUAGAUGUGGAGGGAUGGUGCAUGCUUACAGACACUUUAAAUAAAACGACGAAAUGUACCAAAUAUGGCGUCAGGAAAGAAGAGGAGGAGGCAAGUGAGAACUGGACAGACGAUGAUCUCCAGCAUGAAUGUGAUCUCUUGCUUUUCCUUUGCUCCCUCCACGCCAUAUAUCUGCAGGAAAGUGUUGAAUGUGAAGGCCAGCAACAGAGUCCCCAACGCCAUGUUAUAUGUGAGGCGGGCUAAGAAAAACUUGGUUGGGAUGGCACGGCGGAACUUCUGCUCCUUGUACGAUGAAUUGACGAGGGACAGCAACAGGAACAGAGAUGUAGCCGCGAAUGACAACCCGAUCACGUAUGUGUAUGACAAGGCCUUGAACAUGCGUGAAUCGCCAGUUUUUGGAUCGUCGGUGUGGGAGAAGGAGGAGCUCAUGGCGAAGACCACAGCUGCCACAGCGCUUGUACAUGUCUUUGCAAUCCCCACUAGUUGUUUCUUGCAACUCUUACGCAUCUGUUUGUGGUUCGAAGUAAAGAGCUCUUGCGCUGUCUUUCCUUUCUUA